AGUCGAGGGGUAUAUUUCUUCGGAGAUAGAGACCGGCGCACGGGUGCGUAACGCGUAUGCAAUCUACCUUUUACAGAGGGAUAGCCCAGAGAAAUUUGGAUUAAUACCUCAUAGUAUUAUAGAAUGGCAUGAUUUUAUAAUUAAAGUCACAACGGUAAAAGAUGAGCAUGCGUCCCAUUAGCUAGUUGGUAAGGUAACGGCUUACCAAGGCUACGAUGGGUAGGGGUCCUGAGAGGGAGAUCCCCCACACUGGUACUGAGACACGGACCAGACUCCUACGGGAGGCAGCAGUGAGGAAUAUUGGACAAUGGGCGCAAGCCUGAUCCAGCCAUGCCGCGUGCAGGAUGACGGUCCUAUGGAUUGUAAACUGCUUUUAUACGAGAAGAAACACUCCGACGUGUCGGAGCUUGACGGUAUCGUAAGAAUAAGGAUCGGCUAACUCCGUGCCAGCAGCCGCGGUAAUACGGAGGAUCCAAGCGUUAUCCGGAAUCAUUGGGUUUAAAGGGUCCGUAGGCGGUUUAAUAAGUCAGUGGUGAAAGCCCAUCGCUCAACGGUGGAACGGCCAUUGAUACUGUUAGACUUGAAUUAUUAGGAAGUAACUAGAAUAUGUAGUGUAGCGGUGAAAUGCUUAGAGAUUACAUGGAAUACCAAUUGCGAAGGCAGGUUACUACUAAUGGAUUGACGCUGAUGG
rnacentral:rRNA from 1 species